UACAUAGGAUGCAAGCGUUAUCCGGAUUUACUGGGCGUAAAGCGAGCGCAGGCGGAUUUGUAAGUUUGGUGUUAAAGGCAAUUGCUUAACAAUUGUUUGCAUUGAAAACUGCAAGUCUAGAGUGUAGUAGGGAGUUUUGGAACUCCAUGUGGAGCGGUGGAAUGCGUAGAUAUAUGGAAGAACACCAGUGGCGAAGGCGAAAACUUUGACUACAACUGACGCUUAGGCUCGAAAGUGUGGGGAGCAAAUAGG
rnacentral:rRNA from 1 species